CCUCUCAUGGCGUAGGGGUAACGCGCCCUAACUAGAGAUAAGGAAGUCGUGAGUUCGAUUCUCACUGAGAAGA
rfam:Aedes aegypti strain Liverpool supercont1.384 genomic scaffold, whole genome shotgun sequence.